GAAGCCCCGCGGCUUCCCGGGCCCCGACGAGACGCGCCGUACCGGGGGAAGGAAAAGACGACGCACC
rnacentral:ncRNA from 1 species